rnacentral:lncRNA from 1 species
CCCAGAGCCAUUGCCCUGUCCAUGGAGACAUGCCCUGUGUGUGCCUAGCAUAUCCCAAGAACUGGAGUCCCAGGGCUCCAAGCCCCACAGUGCGCUGGAACUCGAGGUCGGGAUCCCACCACCUCUCCUCAACCCGGCAGCGCCACCCUAUGAGGGGGUAGUGGGGUGCCCGCUCCUGUCUUAGGAGGCCUGGGGCAACUUGGUUCACACCCGGAACUCUCUGUGGCCCCAGACCUUGGAUCUGCUCACCUACCCCUGCUCUCCAAGGCCUCCUGUAGGUACGUGCUCUCUGCUUUGUGGUUUCCCCCAAAUGGGAGGGGGUCCUGGGACUCGCGCUGCCGCCCACUGCGGCCAGUGGACUCAGGCCUCCUGCUCAAUCCAGCUCUGUCUUGCCUGCGCACCCCGUCCCCUCCCCCACUUCAAAGCCCAGAGCCAGCAGGCACUAAUUACACGCCCCCCCACCCCUCUCGCUCGUUAAGUGUUAUUAGCCCCAGUUUACAGAUGAGGAAACUGAGACCGGGAAGGAGGUGGAGGACGUCACCCCCUCCGUCCCCACCCUGGCCCCUGAGCCAGGACUGGGGACCCUGCCAAGAUUCCCCUUCCUGGGAGAAGCCGGGGCACAGUGCCCGCUCCAGCUCCUGCUUCCUGUCCUUCCCCAGCGCUUCUCUGUCCCUUGAAGCUAGCUUGACCUUGGGCAGACAGCUGCUGAGCCCUGGCAUGGGGUGGGCAGGGAAGGAGGUACCACAGGCCACAUUCUCUGAGUGUCUCAUCUGGAAGAGACAGGCAGAGGUCUUGGAGUUCAGGCCUCUCCACUGAGCUUGAAGCCAGGGCCUUUCUGCUUGAUC